AUUAAAACAGAGAUAAUCUAAACUCAAAAGCAGACGGUUAACUUUGCUAAUUGUGAGGCUAAUAUGUGAGAUAAAGCAUCGCCUUGCCCCGAAUAUUCCUAAGCAUUCAAUGUGAACAUUAUUUGGGUGAUUAGACAAAUUGUCAAUUGAGUAUGAGUCUCUGAUCUAUCAGCUCGGGACGGUUGUGUAUUGGACAACCGUGGCAUUGACGGAUAACGGGGAAUUAGGGUUCGGUUCCGGAGAGAACGCAUGAGAAACGGCGUUCACGGCUAAGGUCGGCAGCAGGAGCGAAAACUUUUCUAAUAGGCAUUGCCUGAAAAGGUGACUACCUGUAUCGGUGGCUGUUAACAAAUAGUUCAUCGGAAUGAAAAACUAAUAGAUAUUGUAUUGAUUACCAAGUUCAGGGCAAGUCUGGUGCCAGCAGCCGCGGUAAUACCAGCUGAGCUAGAAAUGGAUAACUUUGUUGCAGUAAAAACGUACGUAGUCACUGUUGUUUCGAUGUUGAUACCUUUCGGUAUUCAGCAGGUAAACUGAUUGCCUUACUUUUGUUUGGCUAUCUCCGCGAGUAAAUUAGAAUGAUCAACUUGAAAAUUGUAUAUAAUAGCGUGGGAAGAUAAAUGAUACCUAUUUAUAAAGCCGCUUAUUUUAUUAUAGGGAUAUGUUGUAAGAAUGAAUGAGGACAUUAAUACUUAAUAGCUAGAGGUGAAAUUCCGAGAUUUAUUGAUGAUUAUCUACUGCGAAGGCAUUUGUCUAAUUCAUUUUUGGUGAUCAAGUACUAAAGAGUGGGGAUCGAAGAGGAUUAGAUACCCUCGUAGUCCACUCCUUAAACGAUGCCAACUAGUGGUUGGUGCAUGGAAGAGAACUUUAUCGGAACCUUAGCAGAUAUGAAAGUCUUAGGGCUCUGGGGGGAGUACGGUCGCAAGGGCGAAACUUAAAGGAAUUGACGGAACGGCACCACCAGGGGUGGAGCGUGCGGCUUAAUUUGACUCAACGCGGGAAACCUUACUAGGGUAAGACACUGUGAUGAUUGACAGAUUACUUGAUCUUUCUUGAUUUGGUGGGUGGUGGUGCAUGGCCGAUCUUAGUUGGUGGGGUGACCCGUCUGGUUAAUUUCGAUAACGAACGAGAUCCGAGCUGUUUAGUUGGCCAUCUCUAUAAGGUAUGUAGAAGAUGUGUCUCCUGGAUGGACUGUUAGUGGGAGGCUGAAGGAAGUUUCGGGCUAAAUCAGGUCUGUGAUGCCCUUCUACGCUCUAGGCGGCACGCGCGCUACAAUGGGCGAUGGAACGUGUUGCUGCCACUGAAAAGUGGAGUAAAUCACGAAUAUCAGCCCGUGAAUGGGAUAGUUUUUUGCAACUUUCGAACUUGAACUAGGAACCCCUUGUAAGCAUGCUCGAGAAUAGCGUGUUGAAUACGUCCCUGCCGUUUGUACACACCGCCCGUCGUUUCUUCCGACUGGUAUUGAUUGUGAGUUGCAAGGAUCUGUUAUGGAAAAUUGCAGCGAAUGCUCUGUAUUGGAGGAAGAAAAAGUCGUAACAAGGUUAUC
rnacentral:rRNA from 1 species